GGGGAUCUCAGAUCUGUUGUCUGGGAUCUGAUUGCACUCUAUUGUGGUCGGUAAGGGUAGGCAUGUCUUACCAUCCAUAGACUCGAUUUGUAGGCCGUCAGGUCUUCUCCCCGCCGUCUCCACUGUACCUGCACAGGUUCUAAGGGAGUAAGGAUUGCUGGGGCCCUUAACAUUCAGAAUAUCAAAAAACACAGACCUAGCUAGUGACUUGUUGCUCUGAUCAUUCAAGAUGGCGUAGUGCUUGACUGCUUUAUCUCUGUGUCCUUUUGGGUAAACUUUUACUAGACAGAUUUUGGAGCAAGAUCUGCUACCUGUAAUUCCUUUGCAGACUUCAGUGCACUGUAAAGUGAUUGCUAUUUCAUCUGUACUAGUCUCUUU